GGUACAUGUGUAGGGUAGAGAUCUCCCGAUCCUUUUGUUAGAUUGAUUUGUUUGUCCCUAAUCCUAGUUAAUCUCCCUGUAGCAUGCAGAUCCAGAGUUGAUUGAUCUAUCUUGAGGAGACCUCUGCAUCAAGUCUCAUCUCGAUCUGUCUUUUUUUUGUCAUCGGUGAGUGCCAAAGAUGGAUCCAUGUCCCUUUCUGUCACCGAUCAGUGCCAC
rnacentral:lncRNA from 1 species